CUUCCCGAUUCCAUAGCCUCCCAACCCUAGCUAGUUGCGCCUCCACAGAAAACGAAUCGGUGGUGGAGAGGAUAGCUUGAACUCCACAGGUCCUAGGCGUCGCCGCCGAAGAGAAAAACAACCCCAACAUGCCGAAGGGCACAUCAGCGCGGCGAGCGCGCACGCGACUGCAAGUCUGCCCCCCGCCACCAAUCCCCUACCUUCUCUGCUUCGAGACGCACGCCACUCUCACCCGCGCUGUCGCUGGAUCAUGGAUGGCGGGCCAAUACCUACGACACCAUGGCCCAUGUAUCUCUGUUGCCGACGCCUCAAAGACCAGCGUGGUGUUGUCCGGCUUCAGGUUGGCGCGGGAGAUCGCGUCGGCGGCCCGGGGAGUCGCGGCGUAGGAGGGCGAGCACGUGGGACCUGUAGCUCUGGUGCCGGCCCUGCUCCUCCUGGAGGAAGGCCCUGGAGUCGAGCCGCAGGGUGAGCCCACUCUUGUGAAGGAUUGGAUUGCUGGAGAACUCUGUUCUUCAAUCGCGUUCUGGUGAAGGAGUCAAUCGCUGGUGAACGACGUGCUCAAUUUUAUUGCUUUCAACUUGAUCAACCUCUGCCCUUUUAUUCGUGGAAGAAGCAGCCGGUGAGGAUAACUGCUCUCCUUUUCAAUCUGGUGUGUAAUUAAGUCUGAAGUUUCCCUUUCUCAUGCCAUGUUCCUAUGAAUAGCUCACUAGAACUGACAUAAUUUUUAUCAUAAGACUGCCUUCAACUUGAUCAAGCUUUCCCUUUUAUAAAAAGAAGAAUCAGUCGGGGUUCUAUUUUGUCUAUUGAGAUGGAAGAAGAGGCUAACACAUCGUACCAUCGUACCAUGCCAACAUGAGCUACCAAGCUUUCCCUUUCACAUUUACUUUUCUCUCAUCCUGAAAUAUGGCACUUGCACAAGUUUUUUGUGCUCAUGAUUACUUUUCCAUUGUAGAGCUAUAUUGUCCGGCUUGGUAACCCAUGUUGGCAUGAAAUUUAAAAAUUUGAUGAAGCUUGGGCAUUUUGGCUUAGCUGUGGUGGUCAAAAGGGCUUUGAGGUCCCAAAAAGGUAUACGAACAAAAGGCCCGUAGAUGACAAGGUAACAUCAUGUCGAUUUGUUUGUGCAAGGAAAUGGAAUGCCUAAUCUCUUUUCCCAUAGUAAAUUAUGUUAUCAAGUCUGAAAAUGUACAAGUAGCAAGGGCUACAUGGGCUAAUUCAGUUAACAAGUCUAAAAAGUAAAUUCGGUUAUCAGCUAAUCGGCCUGCAGUGGUGCGACAACGACGGCGUGGCGCAACCGACCACCACCAUGGAGAUGGGUGUGCAGGUCAUCGACGUGGGGUUGCUGCGCGCGUAUGCCGAGGUGAUCAUCACGGGCGACGACUCGAGGAGGCCGACGAACAGGACGCCCUUGGACCGGCAUGGCAGGGGAGGCUAUGUAUCACACGUUGCUCUAGUUGCCAUGUAUCCUGGAUGCCGCCGACCACGGGGGCUCUGGCUGCACGUGUUUCCCGGCCGCCUCCGAGCAGGAGGGCUCUCGCGAUGUGUUGCUUUGUAUCCCGGCCACCGCGGACAGUGAGGGCUCCCUCUGCACGUGUUGCUUUGUUUCCCAGCUGCCGCUGACCACUCGGGCUUCGUCUUCACGUGUUGCUCUGCGUCCAUUGCUCCUUUGGUGACGGUGAGGACGCGCCGAGAGCUCAUUCUACCAUGACGGAGAACUAGAUUUUUAAAUUUGAGAGGGAUAACGGCAAUUCUAGGGGAACGAGGAGAUUAUUGAAAUUAGGAGGUCAUCGUAGUCUGGAUAUUUUUAUUGUUUUUCUUUUCGGUUUCAUACUACUAUUGGAUUUUGUUGUUUCUCACUAAGAGCUAUUCGACUUAUAAUCCCAAUGUUUUGUUGUUA